UUGGAAUCUUUAUAUGGUUUGUAACUAGAGGGAUGUUGGAAAUCAUCCAAACUAUAAUGGAGAAUCAGUUACUACAUAUUAUUGCAACUCCAUAUAGAAAUAUAUCCCUUCUUUUACAGGGGACUCCUCAGUUUAGUAUUUGAAAGGGCAGUAUACCGUAGUUGGAUAUUGAACUACAACAGCUCAAUCGACUCAUUAUGUAACAAGAAGAAAGCAAGUAGAGCUGCAGUAACAUCAAAUUUUAUCUCAAAAUAGAGAUGAGUAUUACUGAUCCAUUAGUUUCUAUUAUUGCGUCCAUAAUCCAAUCAUGAUAACUUCUUUAGCAAAUCCGUUACUAAUACUCGUUAUAAUCUUCUCUCUUUGCAAUCUAGGUUAAUGGAAGCUAAGUAGCUUAGACUUGGAGUUUCAAGAUUAAUGGAUGAAGCUAAGGCUGAUGGGAUUAAGUUAGUUAUUUGCUCUACAACAACAAAUUUUUUUUAUCUUGAAAUCCUUAAUAGGCAUCGUAAGUUCUGUUCAACACUCUUGUGGAUAUGAAAGCUCCAACAACUCAGAACCCUCGUAGUACAAUUUUCCAUCCUAUGAAUGAUAAUCGUCAGAAAGUCGCAUGUGAACCAAGGACACAGCACAUUGAUGCUUGAUAUCAUUUGUGAAGUAUUGUCAUAGCAGGAGCUGAAUUAUCAUUUUGUUUUUUUAUCAGUUUGUUAGUUUAGCAUGUUGUUGUCAGAACUUAGAUAUCUUGGACAUGUAUUAUCUGAACUCAGUAUUUCAUUUUUUUUUUGUAGUUUUACACCCAAUGGAAUGAAUGUUAAAAUUCUCAGUUAAAU